AACGGUCUAUACCUGCGGUACCUGCGGAGGGAUCAUUACCGAGUUAGGGUCUUUUAGGCCCGACCUCCAACCCUUUGUUAACUAUACCAUGUUGCUUUGGUAGGCCCGCCUUUAGGGGCCGCCGGGGAUUUUUAUGCCCCUGGUCAGUGCCUGCCAGUAGCCUUCUCAAAUUCUUUUAUAAUUGUCGUCUGAGUAUAGAUAAAAAAUCGUUAAAACUUUCAGCAAUGGAUCUCUAGAUCG
rnacentral:misc_RNA from 1 species